CCUACGGGUGGCAGCAGUGAGGAAUAUUGGUCAAUGGGCGUAAGCCUGAACCAGCCAAGCCGCGUGAGGGAUGAAGGUUCUAUGGAUCGUAAACCUCUUUUAUAAGGGAAUAAAGUGUGGGACGUGUACUGUUUUGUAUGUACCUUAUGAAUAAGGAUAGGCUAACUCCGUCCCAGCAGCCGGGGUAAUACCGAGGAUCCGAGCGUUAUCAGGAUUUCUUGGGUGUAACGGGUGCGUAGGCGGCCUUUAAGUCAGCGGUGAAAGUCUGUGGGUCAACCAUAGAAUUGCCGUUGAAACUGGGAGUCUUGAGUGUGUUAGAGGCAGGCGGAAUGCGGGGUGUAGCGGUGAAAUGCUUAGAUAUCACGCAGAACCCCGAUGGCGAAGGCAGCCUGCCAAGCCAUAACUGACGCUGAUGCACGAAAGCGUGGGGAUCAAACAGGAUUAGAUACCCCAGUAGUC
rnacentral:rRNA from 1 species